GACGUAGGAUGCAAGCGUUGUCCGGAUUUAUUGGGCGUAAAGAGUUCGUAGGCGGUUAUUUAAGUCUGGUGUUAAAUACUGUGGCCCAACCACAGAACUGCAUUGGAUACUGGAUGACUUGAGUGCGGUAGAGGCGAGUGGAAUUCCCAGUGUAGCGGUGAAAUGCGUAGAUAUUGGGAAGAACACCAGUGGCGUAAGCGACUCGCUGGCCCGUAACUGACGCUGAGGAACGAAAGCCAGGGGAGCGAAUGGG
rnacentral:rRNA from 1 species